UACGUAGGGUGCAAGCGUUGUCCGGAAUUAUUGGGCGUAAAGAGCUCGUAGGCGGUUUGUCGCGUCGGCUGUGAAAACCUGAGGCUCAACCUCGGGCCUGCAGUCGAUACGGGCAAACUAGAGUUCGGUAGGGGAGACUGGAAUUCCUGGUGUAGCGGUGGAAUGCGCAGAUAUCAGGAGGAACACCGAUGGCGAAGGCAGGUCUCUGGGCCGAUACUGACGCUGAGGAGCGAAAGCGUGGGGAGCGAACAGG
rnacentral:rRNA from 1 species